rnacentral:lncRNA from 1 species
UUAUAAACUCCCUUUGGCAACAGCAUUCUUGGACGCGUUUUGUGCUGCACCUUCCCGUCGAAGCGGCUUCGUCCGGUAAUGGCUGCCAUUACCGGACGUCCAACUUCGCUAGUCUUUUCCACAAGUCAUCAAAACGUAAUGGCUACGCAUAGUAAUUGCGGUCGUCGUUAAUCUUCUUGCCCGCUUGUCCAGCUAUGGUAAGCCUCACCGGCAGACCUUGUUUAAGCCACAACACUGGUCCUUUUGCCUUCUUUCCUUUCGACUGCCAGCUUUCAGCCUCAUUUUAAUAAAGCAAACCAAGGAAAUUGGCCGCUUCAGUAGAAGUUGUGCCCGUUGUCCUGACCAAUGUAUAGCCCUGUAUGUGGCUGCGGGACGAACAGAGAUAUACCAGUAGUGAUUGAAACGCCGUGGGUGCGCAGCAGGUGCCGCGAGCGAGGGAGGGACCCGAGCAGGACUGCCUCGUUCGCGCAACACCUUAUCCAGAUCUAUGCAAGAGGUCACGGGAGCGCACAAACUGUGUUAUUAGUCCAAAUCACAAAUAUUGAAAAAUGCGAGAUCUGAAUCGAUUGCCUGCUGUUGGACCCGAAGUAAUCACGCGCUGAUAGAUAUUAUCGCUGACUGCAUCCGGCCUGCAGUUUGGUGCUUCUCACCACGGACUCCUGACCAUGUGUUGUAUCCUGGAUAUAUCGGAAGGUCUGCCGGUGAGGCUUACCAUAGCUGGACAAGCGGGCAAGAAGAUUAACGACGACCGCAAUUACUAUGCAUAGCCAUUACGUUUUGAUGAGUUGUGGAAAAGACUAGCGAAGUUGGACGUCCGGUAAUGGCUUCGACGGGAAGGUGCAGCACAAAACAUAGCAUGUUGGAGGCUAUGAAAUGGGAACCAGUACGUCUGGCGAGGAUGUUGGGACGUAUGUGGGCUCACCGAAACUCAGCUACCCCCUUUGGACGCUAAUCUGGGCUGACGUGUGGUGUUUCCUGUUCUCCGUGGCUUUUAGGCGUAUAGAUAUUGCCCUUGGGCCUUCGGCUCGUAUGGGUUGUUUUACAGGUAUUUUACAGGUCACGCACUACCAACCAUGUAACACAACACACACACACAUGAUCUGCAUCCGCUGAUCGGUGCUUUUCUGAAGUCGUGGUAUAACACUUGGUACCGAGCAGGUAUCGUUGUACCGACCUGAGUUUGAAUGCCAGCUGAAGCGGUUUCUGCCGAGUUGGAGGCGACGGGCCCCGCGACCGCUGGAUAUCCUGUGGGUGCUUCCAUCUCCCGGAGAACCUGAGGUGGAAUUAAGCCCUCUACCACUAGAGGGGGAUAGCUGUAAUAUCCUGGACACAUCACGGGAUCUGCAGCAGGCAGCAGGCACACAUACACUACAUCCCCAUGCAUGCGGCUAGCCUAAGUUAAUGAGGCAGGUACUAUACGAGCACACCAUGUAUGGAUGCAACCAUGCAUGCAUUAGUCGUAGGUAUUACGGCGAGCCCCAGACCCCAAGGGGCAGGGCCAUCGAGGCCAUAAUGGACCGUGCACUGCACUGGCCGGGAAUCCUGUGAUGAGAACCCACACCACGAGAACAGCAAUACAGCUCAACGAGAAGCCUGAGAGACUCUGUUUGGGAUGCCCUAGCAGCUUAGCACACAAGAGGGAAGUAGCCUGUGUGUAGGCCCCCCCCCAAGAGGCAGCAGAAGGUAUCAGUUCCCGAGAGAGGCAACUCCCUCGGGGCAACAGCAAGCCGUGGCUUGAAAAUAAGGAGUUGUACAACUUCUAUGGGAGAAGGUGCACUUGCACACCAAGGCACCCAUAUGAUCGUG